rnacentral:misc_RNA from 1 species
GAUGAAGAACGCAGCGAAAUGCGAUAAGUAGUGUGAAUUGCAGAAUUCAGUGAAUCAUCGAAUCUUUGAACGCACAUUGCGCCCCUUGGUAUUCCAUGGGGCAUGCCUGUUCGAGCGUCAUUUGUACCUUCAAGCUUUGCUUGGUGUUGGGUGUUUGUCUCGCCUUUGCGUGUAGACUCGCCUUAAAAUAAUUGGCAGCCGGCGUAUUGAUUUCGGAGCGCAGUACAUCUCGCGCUUUGCACUCAUAACGACAGCGUCCAAAAGUACAUUUUACACUCUUGACCUCGGAUCAGGUAGGGAUACCCGCUGAACUUAAGCAUAUCAAUAGCGGAGGA